rnacentral:rRNA from 1 species
GACGAACGCUGGCGGCGUGCCUAAUACAUGCAAGUAGAACGCUGAAGCUUGGUGCUUGCACCGAGCGGAUGAGUUGCGAACGGGUGAGUAACGCGUAGGUAACCUGCCUGGUAGCGGGGGAUAACUAUUGGAGACGAUAGCUAAUACCGCAUGAUAUUGAUUAUUGCAUGAUAGUCAAUUAAAAGGUGCAAUUGCAUCACUACCAGAUGGACCUGCGUUGUAUUAGCUAGUUGGUGAGGUAACGGCUCACCAAGGCAACGAUACAUAGCCGACCUGAGAGGGUGAUCGGCCACACUGGGACUGAGACACGGCCCAGACUCCUACGGGAGGCAGCAGUAGGGAAUCUUCGGCAAUGGACGGAAGUCUGACCGAGCAACGCCGCGUGAGUGAAGAAGGUUUUCGGAUCGUAAAGCUCUGUUGUAAGAGAAGAACGAGUGUGAGAGUGGAAAGUUCACACUGUGACGGUAUCUUACCAGAAAGGGACGGCUAACUACGUGCCAGCAGCCGCGGUAAUACGUAGGUCCCGAGCGUUGUCCGGAUUUAUUGGGCGUAAAGCGAGCGCAGGCGGUUAGAUAAGUCUGAAGUUAAAGGCUGUGGCUUAACCAUAGUACGCUUUGGAAACUGUUUAACUUGAGUGCAAGAGGGGAGAGUGGAAUUCCAUGUGUAGCGGUGAAAUGCGUAGAUAUAUGGAGGAACACCGGUGGCGAAAGCGGCUCUCUGGCUUGUAACUGACGCUGAGGCUCGAAAGCGUGGGGAGCAAACAGG